rnacentral:sRNA from 2 species
UCGCAGGUUCGAAUCCUGCACGACCCACCAAUAUACAAGGUGGUAACUGGUAGAGAACGUGAAGGUUAACGUUGCUUUAGCAACGGCCCGAAGGGCGAGGCGAAGCCGAGUCAUCCUGCACGACCCACCA